GGGGCGGCUCCGGGCGCUCGGCGGGCACGGGGCCGGGCCGGGGGCGCGGGGCCGGGGCCGGGCCGGGGCGGCGCUUUGGGCCCCGCCGCGGGGAGGGGCGGAAAGGCCACGGCGCCCGCCCGAGCUCGGGGCUGGCGCUCUGCGGCUUUGCGGUUGGGGGAAAAGCCCUUGUGCUAAAGCUGCCGCCGCCUGGACGCGUAAUUGGGAGUGAAAACAUUCACCCGCCGGCUGCGCUCAUCGGGAGGGAACCGAGCAUUGGUUCUCGCUCAAAAACACGCGGGGCAUUUUGGAGUAUUUGGCAUGUGAGUGAACACCUCUGACCUCAGGGAGCCUGUUCUGUCUGAGCCAACAAGCUGCCUUCUCAGCUGUGGCCUCAGACACAUGAAUGCCUUCCAGCAGGAUUAAACACUCACCUUUUGGGGAAAACCAUGCCAAGUUACACCACAGCACCUCUGACAGCCAUCCUACUAACUCAUCUGGUCUCUUCCAUUCCUGUUUUCAGAGUCUGAAACAAGGGGAGAGGAGAUUCCUGCUCCAUUCAUAAUUACAGUAGUAAGCAUACCUGCAGUACUUGCUUUCUGAAUGUAUUUUCUGUUCAUUUACUAAUUACAUUUAGUAAUUAUUUAAAAAACCUAAUCCUUUCCCCUCCCUGCUAUGCCGCCAUUCUGCUCUUUAAAAAGAGAAAAAAAAAAAGAGAUACAUUUUGCCAAGUGAGUCAAAAAUAAAUGUGUUGUUCAAGUUUGCAA